rnacentral:rRNA from 1 species
AGGGUUUGAUUAUGGCUCAGAUUGAACGCUGGCGGUAUGCUUAACACAUGCAAGUCGAACGGAAACGAAACUAGCUUGCUAGUAGGCGUCGAGUGGCGGACGGGUGAGUAACGCGUAGGAAUCUGCCUGAUAGUGGGGGAUAGCCCGAAGAAAUUCGGAUUAAUACCGCAUAAUCUAUUCGUAGUAAAGUGGGGGACUUUCGAGCCUCACGCUAUCAGAUGAGCCUGCGUAAGAUUAGCUUGUUGGUAGGGUAAAAGCCUACCAAGGCUACGAUCUUUAGCUGGUCUGAGAGGAUGAUCAGCCACAUCGGGACUGAGACACGGCCCGAACUCCUACGGGAGGCAGCAGUGGGGAAUAUUGGACAAUGGGGGCAACCCUGAUCCAGCAAUACCGCGUGUGUGAAGAAGGCCUGAGGGUUGUAAAGCACUUUCAAUUGUGAAGAAAAGUUAACGGUUAAUAACCGUUGACCUUGACGUUAACUUUAGAAGAAGCACCGGCUAACUCCGUGCCAGCAGCCGCGGUAAUACGGAGGGUGCAAGCGUUAAUCGGAAUUACUGGGCGUAAAGCGUGCGUAGGCGGUUUAUUAAGUCAGAUGUGAAAGCCCCGGGCUUAACCUGGGAACUGCAUUUGAAACUGGUCAACUAGAGUAUGGUAGAGGAAAGUGGAAUUUCUGGUGUAGCGGUGAAAUGCGUAGAUAUCAGAAGGAACAUCAAUGGCGAAGGCAGCUUUCUGGACCAAUACUGACGCUGAGGUACGAAAGCGUGGGUAGCAAACAGGAUUAGAUACCCUGGUAGUCCACGCCGUAAACGAUGAUAACUAGCCGUUGGGGGGAUUUACCCCUUAGUGGCGAAGCUAACGCGUUAAGUUAUCCGCCUGGGGAGUACGGCCGCAAGGCUAAAACUCAAAGGAAUUGACGGGGACCCGCACAAGCGGUGGAGCAUGUGGUUUAAUUCGAUGCAACGCGAAGAACCUUACCUGGUCUUGACAUCCUGCGAACUUUCUAGAAAUAGAUUGGUGCCUUCGGGAACGCAGUGACAGGUGCUGCAUGGCUGUCGUCAGCUCGUGUCGUGAGAUGUUGGGUUAAGUCCCGUAACGAGCGCAACCCCUAUCCUUAUUUGCCAGCACAUUAUGGUGGGAACUAUAAGGAGACUGCUGGUGAUAAACCGGAGGAAGGCGGGGACGACGUCAAGUCAUCAUGGCCCUUACGACCAGGGCUACACACGUGCUACAAUGGGAAGGACAAAGAGCCGCGAAGCCGCGAGGUGUAGCUAAUCUCAUAAAUCUUUUCGUAGUCCGGAUUGGAGUCUGCAACUCGACUCCAUGAAGUCGGAAUCGCUAGUAAUCGUAGAUCAGAAUGCUACGGUGAAUACGUUCCCGGGUCUUGUACACACCGCCCGUCAUACCAUGGGAGUGGGUUGCACCAGAAGUGGCUAGUCUAACUUAGUGAGGACGGUCACCACGGUGUGAUUCAUGACUGGGGUAAAGUCGUAACAAGGUAACCA